rnacentral:rRNA from 1 species
AUUCCAGCUCCAAUAGCGUAUAUUAAAGUUGUUGCAGUUAAAACGCUCGUAGUCGGAUUUCGGGGCGGCUUCGUCGGUCUGCCGAUGGGUAUGCACUGACGCGGGCGUCCUUCCUUCCGGAGACGCGUCCUACUCUUAGCUGAGCGGGGCGUGGAGACGGAUCGUUUACUUUGAAAAAAUCAGAGUGUUUCAAGCAGGCAUCAUCGCUCUUGCAUGGAUUAGCAUGGGAUAAUGAAAUAGGACCUUGGUGCUAUUUUGUUGGUUUCGAGCACCGAAGUAAUGAUUAAUAGGGACAGUUGGGGGCAUUCAUAUUCCAUUGUCAGAGGUGAAAUUCUUGGAUUUUGGAAAGAUGAACUACUGCGAAGGCAUUUACCAAGGAUGUUUUCAUUA